ACUGGACAUGAACAUUCACACAACAAACAAAGAUGUCUUCUAUCAUGAACAAAAUAUGAAUUUUAUAAUGGAUUUAGAUCCAAAAGUUCCAAUUUAUUCUAUUGACAUUGGAUAGUGCAGAUGUAGUCUUCUGAUGACAUGACUCUUGAAAAUUUUUAGGAAGAUUGGUGUUUACACAUAUUUUGGAUAACAUCUUUUGGAUGGAGAAAGAUGUUCACUAUGGAUCAAAAAUUCAAAACAGAGGACAUUUUUAUUCAAACAAAAAUACUUGUACAUGUAUGAUAUUCUGUACAUACAACAAGAAAACAGUAAUGAAAUGGAAUGUCCAGUGAUGUUGAAAGCAAAAUUAUUUUUGUUAACAGAAAACAAUAGGACUACAAUAUAUUAAGGUACACAACACAUCUUGUCAGAAGAAUAAUUUUACUGGAGGAUAAAAAAUUUAAUACCUGGAAUCAGCAAUUUACAAAAUGUAUAUGAAAUUUAUUAAGAGAGAUAUAUUCAUGUACAGAAUGGUAACCCCACCAAAUAACCCAGGUGGCUCAAGUGAUUAUAAGCAGACAUUUUUGUUGAACUAAUGCAGGAUUAAAUAAAUGAAGCUUUAGCAGACUAUGGGCUCCAAAGUGUAGUAAAAAGAGAAUUUUUAAAUAUGUGAGACUCAUCAACAUUAAAAUGUGCAUAUUAAGUGAAAUAUUACAAUAUUUAGUAAAAAAUUCAGAUUAUUUACUCAGUUGUUUUCAUGAAAUUUUUUAUUAAAGCAAUAUCACUGUUAUAUAAUUAAUAAGAUUCCAUAUGUUUUAUUUUAUA